UUUAAACUUCAGGUGUUUUUU
rnacentral:snRNA from 1 species